rnacentral:SRP_RNA from 1 species
GCCGGGUGUGGUGGCACACACCUAUAAUCCCAGCUACUCGGGAGGCUGAGACAGGAGAAUUGCUUGAACCCGGGAGGCGGAGGUUGCAGUGAGCCGAGAUCGCACCACUGCCCUCCAGCCUGGGUGACAGAGAAGAGACUCCGUCUCAAAAAAAAGAAAAAAAAAAAAAUAGAUAAAAUUAAGUUGGGUUUUCUUUUUUGAGAUGGAGUCUCACUCUGUCGCCCAGGCUGGAAUGCAGUGGUGUGAUCUUGGCUCACUGCAACCUCCGCCUCCCAGGUUCAAGCAAUUCUGUGUCA